CUCCUUUACUUCCUUCCUGUUUCUUUUCUCUCUCUUGCUGGGUAACGGAACCCUGGCUGCAGACGUAAUGCUUUUGGAUUGAUCGUAAGCAGCAUACCUUUUGGACUGGCAGAGGUUUUAUUUGAGGUGUUGAUACUUUGUGAAACUUGAACAUAUCGUUACUGAACUCCCUCCCCCAUAGCUACCCUUUUAUAUGGCAAAUCCUGUGAAGUUAAGGAUGCACUCCUAGUUGGUCGUUAAGGAGACAUCGAUCAUACUUUUUGCAUUAUUCUUACUUGGAGAAGACUGAGGCAUGCACAAGAAAUAGUACCUGGAAAAAAAUCGAUAUCUGGUGGGAGUUGGGUGACAGCCUGUCAAACUUGACUGUUAUAACCUGCUACAGCUAGCAGUACCAUCACAGGUACCAGAAGAUUAGGACUGAUCAGCUGGCUGAGUGGGUAGACCAGGUUGCAGAGAAAAGGAAGAAGACCUCAUAGCCUGUGACAGAGUGCCUGAUGGUGCACAGAUAGGUAAGAUUUUACAUUUACUCACA